CUUGCCGCCCUGGGCCUUGAUCUGGUUGCCUCGGAUUUCGAGCUGUUCUCUGACCGCUCAUCCUCUGCCGCUCUCAUCUCACUCCAGGCUGCGCUCCGUGGUCUCCUCGACUCGGCUCACCUGAUACCCUGCCCAGCACGUUGCCUGCCCGACUCGUCACGCUGAUUCCACGCCUCAGCACUGGCGCAAGCUAAAGCUACGAGUCAGUUCCCGGUUCGGAGCAUCGGAUCUUUUGAUUCAGCGCAAGCUAAAAGCUACUCGAUCCAGCUCGUCAGACGCCCGGCCCAGCACGUUACCUGCCCAACUCGACACGCCGAUUCCACGCCUCAGCACCGGCGCUAACUACAGCUGCGAGUCAGUUCCCGGUUCGGAGCAUCGGAUCUUUCGAUUCAGCGCAAGCUAAAGCUACUCGACGCAGCGAGUCGGUUCCCGGUUCGGAGAAUCGGAUCUUCGAUUCAGCGCAAGCUAAAGCUACUCGACCCAGCAAGUCGGUUCCCGGUUCGGAGCAUCGGAUCUUUCGAUUCAGCGCAAGCUAAAGCUACUCGACCCAGCGAGUCGGUUCCCGGUUCGGGGCAUCGGAUCUUUUGAUUCAGCGCAAGCUAAAGCUACUCGACCCAGCGAGUCGGCUCCCGGCUCGGAGCACCGGAUCUUUUGAUUCAGCGCAAGCUAAAGCUACUCGACCUAGCGAGUCGGUUCCCGGCUCGGAGCACCGGAUCUUUUGAUUCAGCGCAAGCUAAACUACUCGAUCCAGCUCGUCUGAUGCCCGGCCCAGAACGUAACCUGCCUGACUCGCUGAUUCUACGCCUCAGCACCAGCGCCAGCUAUUCUGCUCGACACAGCGAAUCAGUUCCCGGACAGCGCGACCACCCUCCCUCCCUCCCUCCCUGCCGUUCUCUUUCUGUUCCCUCAAUCCCUGCAAGCGAGGCGGACCCCUGCACCCGGCCAUACUAACGCGCUGAAUUCUUCAGUCGUCACUUCUCUCCGCCUGCUGGUUGAAGUCCCUCUAGCGUCCGCGUUCUUCGUCCAGGCGCCCCUGUCUGCUGUGAUGACCUUCGGUCCUGCCUGUUGCUCUUUUGGGGACUAAGCUGGACUCUCUCUACUUCAGGCUUCUCUUCUUUGAUUUCAGAACAAUCCUGUCUUCCAAGCUGCACGCGACAUCAUGCAGGACCCAUCAUCAGUUGCAGGCCCAUUAUUGGUUCCCACGUAAUGAAAUGUGGAAGUGUGGAAAUCCAGGGAACUAACUCUUCAAACAAGAUCAGACUGUUUAACUCUGUCAAAUCAGUACUGCUGUACGGAGCAGAAAUUUGAAGGACAACAGUGCCAACAAUGAAGAGAGUGCAGUCAUUCAUUAAUUCAUGUCUGCACAAUAUUCUCCAGAUCCACUGGCCAAACAUCAUCAGCAAUCAGGAUCUGUGGUAGAAACAAACCAACUUCCUACAAGAAGAAGAGUUCCAGAAAGGUGUUGGAGAUGGAUCGGACUCAGUCUUCGGAAGCCUGCCUCCAAGCACUGACCUGGAACCCAGGGAGAAAGAAGUAGAGGAAGGCCCAGAAACAUGUCGCGUAGGGAUCUGGAUGCGGACUUAAGCGGAUGUGGUACACCUGGAGUCAAGUAGGACAAAGGCCCAGGAUCGGGAUGCCUGGCGAAAUCUUGUUGAGGGCGUAUGCCCCAGAAGGGGCGAACGGACCUGACAAAGUAAAGAACAGACUUCAGGCCAAAGGGACAAUCAGUCCACCUUAAACUUCAUGAGAUCAACCCCUAUUCUCAGCCGAUUGGCCUUCAACCCAGUUGGGAGCAAGUGUCAUACCCUAGACGUUGAUUUAGUUUUUCAUGGUUGUCACAUUCCCUUGUCAAGAGAAGAUAACUCACCCGGCCACAAACCUGUCGAACUCCCCAUUCAGUCAAACAUUAUACUGGUUUUCAAAUCGUAUCACGAGGACGAUGCUAACUCUGCAUGCCAUCUACUAUUAAGACUUUUCACUCAAACCACCCGAAUCGCCGUUCAAGAUCUUAUGAAGUUCUGCCGAAGACCCCAGACUCUCACUUUCGCUUACCUCACUUUCAGUUCAGAUUCGGCUGCCGGUCCUCACACUUCGUCUUUUUGGGGGGAUUUGGCUUGAGAACCGUCCCAAGCUGUUCUGAACUGUACCCCAAGUAUCAUCAUCACAGUUCCCCUCCCCGCAUGGUGUAGGCGGGGUUCAUUAUAGCAAAGUGUUGUUAAGAAUUAACAGAGUUUUGGGAUAUGAACCACGCCUCAAGUUCCCUAGCUCCUCCCCCUGGUCCUAUAUAUAUACCUCCCAGGUGCUCCUCACCUACGUGACUUUCGACCUCGCACCCGCCUCCACCCCAUCACCACCCUCAUCUUAAUCUCUUACCUAGCUGCGGGGGGGAUUUGGCUUGAGAACCGUCCCAAGCUGUUCUGAACUGUACCCCAAGUAUCAUCAUCACAGUUCCCCUCCCCGCAUGGUGUAGGCGGGGUUCAUUAUAGCAAAUUU